rnacentral:sRNA from 1 species
GAGGCCCUGAAUCGUGAGCAGGAAAGUGCCAGACUGCAGCAACGGGAAAGAGAGACACUGGAGGAGGAAAGGCAAGCUCUGACUCUGAGGUUGGAGGCAGAACAGCAGCGGUGCUGUGUCCUGCAGGAAGAGCGGGAUGCAGCUCGGGCUGGGCAACUGAGUGAGCAUCGAGAGUUGGAGACUCUUCGGGCUGCCCUAGAAGAAGAACGGCAGACCUGGGCCCAGCAAGAGCACCAGCUUAAGGAACACUACCAGGCGCUGCAGGAGGAGAGCCAGGCUCAGUUGGAAAGGGAGAAGGAGAAGAGCCAGAGGGAAGCCCAGGCCGCCUGGGAGACCCAGCACCAGUUGGCAUUGGUGCAGUCUGAGGUGCGGCGGCUGGAAGGAGAGCUGGAUACAGCUCGGAGAGAGAGAGAUGCCCUGCAGCUGGAAAUGAGCUUGGUGCAGGCCCGGUAUGAAAGCCAGCGGAUCCAGCUGGAGUCGGAGCUGGCUGUGCAGCUGGAGCAGCGGGUGACAGAGCGGCUGGCGCAGGCUCAGGAGAGCAGCCUACGGCAAGCAGCCUCCCUCAGGGAACAUCACAGGAAGCAGCUGCAGGACCUGAGUGGACAGCACCAGCAGGAGCUGGCCAGUCAGCUAGCUCAGUUCAAGGUGGAAAUGGCAGAACGAGAGGAACGGCAACAGCAGGUGGCUGAGGACUACGAGCUCAGGUCCUGGUCCCCAGAGUGCCCCUUUCAGGCCCCAGCCCCUUUGCCAUGGGUAGAGCCCAAACUGGGAACGGUGAAGAGCUGCUCCCUUGAUUGAUCUGUCCUCCUCUACAUGGGCCCCAGCUCCUUUGAGAAUAUCAGAUGUCCAACAUUCCCUUCUGGCUCUUUUUAGCUCCCAAGUAUCUGCUUCCUUAAAGGCCCUGAGUCACUUCUUCUCUCUUUGCUUCAGACUGGCCCGGGAGCAAGCGCGAGUGUGCGAACUGCAGAGUGGGAACCAGCAGCUGGAGGAGCAGCGGGUGGAGCUGGUGGAAAGACUGCAGGCCAUGCUGCAGGCCCACUGGGAUGAGGCCAACCAGCUGCUCAGCACCACUCUCCCGCCGCCCAACCCUCCAGCUCCUCCUGCUGGACCCUCCAGCCCUGGGCCUCAGGAGCCGGAGAAGGAGGAGAGGAGGGUCUGGACUAUGCCUCCCAUGGCCGUGGCCCUGAAGCCUGUAUUGCAGCAGAGCCGGGAAGCAAGGGACGAGCUACCUGGAGCGCCUCCUGUUCUUUGCAGUUCCUCCUCAGAUCUUAGCCUCCUGUUGGGCCCCUCUUUUCAGAGCCAGCAUUCUUUCCAGCCCCUGGAGCCCAAACCAGACCUCACUUCAUCCACAGCUGGGGCCUUCUCUGCACCUGGGGCCUUCCAUCCCGAUCAUAGGGCAGAAAGGCCAUUCCCUGAGGAAGAUCCUGGACCUGACGGGGAGGGCCUCCUAAAGCAAGGGCUGCCGCC